CUACGGGUGGCAGCAGUGGGGAAUAUUGGACAAUGGGCGGAAGCCUGAUCCAGCCAUGCCGCGUGUGUGAAGAAGGCCUUUUGGUUGUAAAGCACUUUAAGCGAGGAGGAGGCUCCUUUAGUUAAUACCUAAAGAGAGUGGACGUUACUCGCAGAAUAAGCACCGGCUAACUCUGUGCCAGCAGCCGUGGUAAUACAGAGGGUGCGAGCGUUAAUCGGAUUUACUGGGCGUAAAGCGUGCGUAGGCGGCUUUUUAAGUCGGAUGUGAAAUCCCUGAGCUUAACUUAGGAAUUGCAUUCGAUACUGGAAAGCUAGAGUAUGGGAGAGGAUGGUAGAAUUCCAGGUGCAGCGGUGAAAUGCGUAGAGAUCUGGAGGAAUACCGAUGGCGAAGGCAGCCAUCUGGCCUAAUACUGACGCUGAGGUACGAAAGCAUGGGGAGCAAACAGGAUUAGAUACCCCCGUAGUC
rnacentral:rRNA from 1 species